rnacentral:tRNA from 2 species
GGAGGGAUGGCCGAGUGGCUAAUGGCAGCAGACUGUAAAUCUGCCGCGCGAAAGCGCUACGGGGGUUCGAAUCCUCCUCCCUCCACCA